AACGUUUGGCCCAGUGAACCCAACCCAACCCCAAGGGGUUGCGUGCUGGCGUGCACGGGUCAUUCUUCUGGAGAGCUGGCUUUCCUUGAUUGGUUGGCCAUGCGAUUCAGAUCCUUUACUGUGAGUAAAUCAAAGUGUUCAAAGCAGGCUUAAUGCUUGUAUGGUUCAGCAUGGAAUAAUAAGAUAAGACUUCGGUUUUAUGUUGUUGGCUGUAGAACCAAAGUAAUGAUUGAAAGGGAUAGUUGGGGGUGCUAGUAUUCAGUGGCUAGCGGUGAAAUGCGAGGACCCACUGAGGACUAACUUAUGCGAAAGCAUU
rnacentral:rRNA from 1 species